GCAAACUGGAGAAAUAAGUUUUAAAAUGUUGCAAAAACAAAAGUAAAAGUAGGGGAAGUGGUUUGUUGUGAAGGGUAGCGCGUUUUAAUAUGCUGGGAAUAGACGGAGAAGCUGGUGGUAAGGAAUUGUCAAGUCAUAUCAGUAGAAAACCGUUAGCUAGCUGAGUACUUAGCAAGCUAGCUAACAAUAGCUAGCCAGCAAAGUUAGCUAAUCUUCAAGGGAUGACUACAGGCACUGAUAUACCAAGCUAACUACUAGCGUUUGCCUAUUGUUUUUACAAACAGUUGAAAGAAGACUCGGGUUUGUGCCAAACGAGGGCUGUUUGGGGCUGUAAACAUCCCCGACUGGAAUCUGUUCUACAUCAUCAGAGCUUUCAGUCAGGUGUUUGCUGCUGCUGGCUGCCUCCAGCUCCUACUGGGAAACAGACCAGUGCCAUGUGGUGCUUGACCUGCUAAUGAUACUGUUAGUACGACAGACUGCAUCCUUACCAAUGCCUUAGUUCAGUGCCCUUCAACCCUGGUCCUGGUCCUGGGAAUCCACGAGCUGUGAAGGCUUGUGUGCCACUCCAGCUUGACUAACACACCAGAUGUUGGAAAGGUAAUGGUCAAGACUACAGUGCUGAGCCCAGUGGGCUGAAUCAGAAGCUAGCAGUGCACACCCUGUGGGUCUCCAGGAUCUAAAUUGAAUAACACUUCUCUACUGAUCUCAAUGGAAUGCUGAAAUUAACUUAUGAUGACAACUGUUAAUAUGUGCAUCUCAGUUGUAAUUCUUAGUUGGCUCAUACAGCUUAUUCAUAACAACACUCUAGAGGACACCAUACAGACAGACCAUACAGUGCUAAGACUACAGUUAAUGUAAACAUCCUACACUCAGCUGUGAGUUGGCAGCAGAGGCUGGGAGAAGGCUGUUUACUUUAACUGGCUUGGAUAGACACCCAACCAAACAGGAAGACAGACAGUCCGCAGGUCCAUACUAUGGAUGGAGGGUCAUUAUCUACCAGGGUGAUUCCUCACGAAACAAGGAAAGAAAAAUGCCAUGAUUUUCAUUCAGUUUAAUCCAUGUAAUGGUCCUUUGGAGGAAUGAUUGUUGACAUAUAUUUAACAUUUGUAUCUUUAAAGCAUAAUUGAGAAAUAAUUAAUUGGUUUGGGCUCCAUAAUGUUUCACCUGUAGAUGCUUCAAAAAAUUGGUACCAUUUGUUCUGUAAUAUGAGUAUUAUUUUUUUAUAUUUUCUUAAUGAAUAUUGAAUAAGCUGAUUUUCCUAUAUAUUGUUGAACAUAAUAUACUCUACAGCAGGGCUCUCUAACCCGGUUCCUUGAGAGCGACCAUCCUAAAGGUUUUCGCUCCAACCCUAAUCUAGCACACCUGAUUCUAAUAAUUACCUGGUUGAUCAACUGAAUCAUGUUAGUUACAACUGGUGUUGGUAAGUGUGAACCUACAGGAGGAUAGCUCUCCAGGAACAGGGUUGGAGAGCCCUGAGCCACAGGCAUAUCAAAGUUCCAUACUAGGAUCUUUGCUACCAUUUUAGAGUUAUGAUCCAAUUUCAAAGCAUUAUCAACAUAAUUACUGUGAAAAUGGUUUCAGGAUGUGCAAUGAUACAAGAAAAACAGGGCUAUGAUUGGUUACAAUGCCAAUUUCUCUGUAUAGAAUGGGCAAUAACUUUAAAACUAGCAGAGAUCCCACCCUGAAAUGUUAAAAUGCCUGUAGUGUAUAUUAUGUUCAAUGUAUGAAGUUUGUAUUUCUUGGUAUGUGACUUGUCCCAUUGUUUCUGUAUUUGUUAAUAAUAAAAAUUAACAAAAAUACCUGA